rnacentral:rRNA from 1 species
UACGUAGGGACCGAGCGUUGUCCGGAUUCAUUGGGCGUAAAGAGCUCGUAGGCGGCUGUUCAAGUCGAACGUGAAAACUCGGAGCUCAACUCCGAGCCUGCGUUCGAUACUGGACGGCUAGAGUCUGGUAGGGGGAUCUGGAAUUCCUGGUGUAGCGGUGGAAUGCGCAGAUAUCAGGAGGAACACCGGUGGCGAAAGCGGCUCACUGGACCGUAACUGACGCUGAGGUGCGAAAGCGUGGGGAGCAAACAGG